AGUAUCCACUUUUAGUGCACUGAUUCUGGGCUGAGCACCGCUGGCCAUCCGGGGAGCUCCAUAACACCGCCACUGGGUGGCGACUAUGUGUAACCGUGACCACCCAGUAACAGUCAAUUAAGCUGCGGUUAACCGCACACGCUAGCUGCAGGGAGAUCAAUUGGAGGCACACGCCAGCUUCCCGGUAGUCGCGCCUUCGUGCGGCUUUCGGUAGUUUAACAGGGGAACACAUAGGGACGGUACAGGCAGG